rnacentral:lncRNA from 1 species
CUCUUCCUCCAGGAGCCGGGACCAAAAUAACCGGGCGGGAGGGGACACCUCGCAGGGAAUCUCGGAGGGCUGCCGGGACGAAGAGGCUACAUCUACACAGGGCGGUGUAGGGGAAGCCCGUCUCUUCGACCUCCGUGCCUGGGAGUAGGGGCCGAGAGCCAGAUUAUUGCGAUGACCGGAAUCCCGGCGAGGACGGCCGCGCUCCGGUUCCUUGGUCAAAUUUGUGAAUUUCGCUAACACGAAAAGUUAAACAAGACACAGAGGAGAAACUGCACUUAAGGGUUUCUAACGAAUUACCUUUACUAGCAAGAAUAAAACUGCAAGAAAAUUAAA